rnacentral:rRNA from 1 species
CCUACGGGAGGCAGCAGUGAGGAAUAUUGGUCAAUGGGCGCGAGCCUGAACCAGCCAAGUAGCGUGAAGGAUGACUGCCCUACGGGUUGUAAACUUCUUUUGUAAAGGAAUAAAGUGAGGCACGUGUGCCUUUUUGUAUGUACUUUGUGAAUAAGGAUCGGCUAACUCCGUGCCCGCAGCCGCGGUAAUAAGGAGGAUCCGAGCUUUAACCGGGAUUUUUGGGGUUAAAGGGAGCGUAGAUGGGUUGUUAAGUCCGUUGGUAAAGUUUGGGGCUCAACCGUACACGUGCAAUUGAUACUGGCAGUCUUGAGUAGAGUAGAGGUAGGCGGAAGGCGUGGUGUAGCGGUGAAAUGCUUAGAUAUCACGAAGAACUCCGAUUGCGAAGGCAGCUUACUAAACUGCCACUGACAUUGAUGCUCGAAAGUGUGGGUAUCAAACAGGAUUAGAUACCCGAGUAGUC